rnacentral:miRNA from 1 species
UGAGGCAGGAAAAUCGCUUGAACCCAGGGGGUGGAGGUUGCAGUGAGCCGAGAUUGCGCCACUGCACUCCAGCCUGGGCGACAGAGCAAGACUCUGUCUU